GGGUUGUGAGGUUAAGCGACUAAGCGUACACGGUGGAUGCCCUGGCAGUCAGAGGCGAUGAAGGGCGUGCUAAUCUGCGAUAAGCGCCGGUAAGGUGAUAUGAACCGUUAUAACCGGCGAUACCCGAAUGGGGAAACCCAGUGUGAUUCGUCACACUAUCAUUAACUGAAUCCAUAGGUUAAUGAGGCGAACCGGGGGAACUGAAACAUCUAAGUACCCCGAGGAAAAGAAAUCAACCGAGAUUCCCCCAGUAGCGGCGAGCGAACGGGGAGGAGCCCAGAGCCUGAAUCAGCAUGUGUGUUAGUGGAAGCGUCUGGAAAGGCGCGCGAUACAGGGUGACAGCCCCGUACACAAAAGCGCAUGUGCUGUGAGCUCGAUGAGUAGGGCGGGACACGUGGUAUCCUGUCUGAAUAUGGGGGGACCAUCCUCCAAGGCUAAAUACUCCUGACUGACCGAUAGUGAACCAGUACCGUGAGGGAAAGGCGAAAAGAACCCCGGCGAGGGGAGUGAAAAAGAACCUGAAACCGUGUACGUACAAGCAGUGGGAGCACCCUUCGGGGUGUGACUGCGUACCUUUUGUAUAAUGGG
rnacentral:rRNA from 1 species